GACGAACGCUGGCGGCGCGCUUAACACAUGCAAGUCGAACGGAAAGGCCUGCUUUCCCUUGUGGAUUGCGGGUACUCGAGUGGCGAACGGGUGAGUAACACGUGAGUGAUCUGCCCCCAACUUGGGUAUAAGCCUGGGAAACUGGGUCUAAUUCCCGAUAGGACUGCAGGGUGGUGCCUGUGGUGGAAAACGAUUUUCUAGUGGUUGGGGAUGAGCUCGCGGCCUAUCAGCUUGUUGGUGGGGUAAUGGCCUACCAAGGCGGCGACGGGUAGCCGGCCUGAGAGGGUGGACGGUCACAUUGGGACUGAGAUACGGCCCAGACUCCUACGGGAGGCAGCAGUGGGGAAUAUUGGACAGUGGGCGGAAGCCUGAUGCAGCGACGCCGCGUGGGGGAUGACGGCCUUCGGGUUGUAAACUCCUUUCGACCGCGAGGAAGCCACCUGGUUGGAAGGGUGGUGACGGUAGUGGUAGAAGAAGCACCGGCUAACUACGUG
rnacentral:rRNA from 1 species